rnacentral:pre_miRNA from 1 species
CAUGCACUGGUGGGGUCUCUCAGCCUGGCCUGCCCUCUCACAACCGGGACCCCUCAGGGGAUGUCAGUUUCAGCUGGUCCCCGCAGGCCAGGCUGAGGGACCCCACCGGUACACG